CCUACGGGAGGCAGCAGUGAGGAAUAUUGGUCAAUGGACGAGAGUCUGAACCAGCCAAGUAGCGUGAAGGAUGACUGCCCUAUGGGUUGUAAACUUCUUUUAUAUGGGAAUAAAACGUUCCACGUGUGGGAUUUUGUAUGUACCAUAUGAAUAAGGAUCGGCUAACUCCGUGCCAGCAGCCGCGGUAAUACGGAGGAUCCGAGCGUUAUCCGGAUUUAUUGGGUUUAAAGGGAGCGUAGGUGGAUUGUUAAGUCAGUUGUGAAAGUUUGCGGCUCAACCGUAAAAUUGCAGUUGAAACUGGCAGUCUUGAGUACAGUAGAGGUGGGUGGAAUUCGUGGUGUAGCGGUGAAAUGCUUAGAUAUCACGAAGAACUCCGAUUGCGAAGGCAGUUCACUGGACUGCAACUGACACUGAGGCUCGAAAGUGUGGGUAUCAAACAGGAUUAGAUACCCUAGUAGUC
rnacentral:rRNA from 1 species